rnacentral:rRNA from 1 species
UACGUAGGGGGCAAGCGUUGUCCGGAUUUAUUGGGCGUAAAGAGCGUGUAGGCGGUUUGGUAGGUCCGCUGUGAAAACUCGAGGCUCAACCGUCGAGACGCCGGUGGAAACCAUCAGGCUAGAGUCCGGAAGAGGAGAGUGGAAUUCCGUGGUGUAGCGGUGAAAUGCGUAGAUAUCAGGAGGAACACCUGCGGUGUAGACGGCUUUCGUGGACCAUUGUUGACGCUGAGACACGAAAGCGUGGGUAGCAAACAGG